GUUUUGUUCACAAACCCGUGGAUUUGAGUAUUCAAGCAUGAAUUAAAUAUUUAAGCGUAUUUGGGGAACAUGGUAUCUGAGGGAGUGAGUGAAACAUUUCCUGCUUGUCUCCUGUGCAAACCGCGUCAUAACAUGCUCUGAAACCGUUGUGGUCCCGCUUGCUUGCCCCAAGUAGAGGUAAGCAAUUGCGGGAUAGCAGUGGAUCUCAGGAUGUCAGAACCAUAAUUUGGCACUACAUUUUCGUAUUCCGGGCGGCUGCCUAACCUUGAACACGCCUCAUGCUCCAG